rnacentral:rRNA from 1 species
AUUGAACGCUGGCGGCAGGCCUAACACAUGCAAGUCGAACGAGUGGCGGAUGGGUGAGUAAUGUCUGGGAAACUGCCCGAUGGAGGGGGAUAACUACUGGAAACGGUAGCUAAUACCGCAUACCAUCCGAUUUGCCCAGAUGGGAUUAGAUUGUAGGUGAGGUAACGGCUCACCUAGGCGACGAGCCCUCGCUGGUCUGAGAGGAUGACCAGCCACACUGGAACUGCGACACGGUCCAGACUCCUACGGGAGGCAGCAGUGGGGAAUAUUGCACAAUGGGCGCAAGCCUGAUGCAGCCAUGCCGCGUGUAUGAAGAAGGCCUUCGGGUUGUAAAGUACUUUCAGCGGGGAGGCGUUACCAACAGAAUAAGCACCGGCUAACUUCGUGCCAGCCGCCGCGGUAAUAC